AGUGAACGCUGGCGGCGUGCUUAACACAUGCAAGUCGAACGAGAACGGAUUAUAGCUUGCUAUAAUUGUCAGCUAAGUGGCGCACGGGUGAGUAAUGUAUAGGUAAUAUGCCUCUUACUAAGGGAUAACAAAUGGAAACGUUUGCUAAUACCUUAUACUCCUUAUUAACAUCAGUUAAUAAGGGAAAGAUUUAUUGGUAAGAGAUUAGCCUGUAUUGUAUCAGUUAGGUGGUGGGGUAAUGGCUUACCAAGACUAUGACACAUAACUGGUUUGAGAGGAUGAUCAGUCAAACUGGAACUGAGACACGGUCCAGACUCAUACGGGAGGCAGCAGUGGGGAAUAUUGCACAAUGGACGAAAGUCUGAUGCAGCAACGCCGCGUGGAGGAUGACACAUUUCGGUGCGUAAACUCCUUUUAUAUGAGAAGAUAAUGACGGUAUUAUAUGAAUAAGCACCGGCUAACUCCGUGCCAGCAGCCGCCGUAA
rnacentral:rRNA from 1 species